GAUGAACGCUGGCGGCGUGCCUAAUACAUGCAAGUCGAGCGAACGGACGAGAAGCUUGCUUCUCUGAUGUUAGCGGCGGACGGGUGAGUAACACGUGGAUAACCUACCUAUAAGACUGGGUUAACUUCGGGAAACCGGAGCUAAUACCGGAUAAUAUUUUGAACCGCAUGGUUCAAAAGUGAAAGACGGUCUUGCUGUCACUUAUAGAUGGAUCCGCGCUGCAUUAGCUAGUUGGUAAGGUAACGGCUCACCAAGGCAACGAUGCAUAGCCGACCUGAGAGGGUGAUCGGCCACACUGGAACUGAGACACGGUCCAGACUCCUACGGGAGGCAGCAGUAGGGAAUCUUCCGCAAUGGGCGAAAGCCUGACGGAGCAACGCCGCGUGAGUGAUGAAGGUCUUCGGAUCGUAAAACUCUGUUAUUAGGGAAGAACAUAUGUGUAAGUAACUGUGCACAUCUUGACGGUACCUAAUCAGAAAGCCACGGCUAACUACGUGCCAGCAGCCGCGGUAAUACGUAGGUGGCAAGCGUUAUCCGGAAUUAUUGGGCGUAAAGCGCGCGUAGGCGGUUUUUUAAGUCUGAUGUGAAAGCCCACGGCUCAACCGUGGAGGGUCAUUGGAAACUGGAAAACUUGAGUGCAGAAGAGGAAAGUGGAAUUCCAUGUGUAGCGGUGAAAUGCGCAGAGAUAUGGAGGAACACCAGUGGCGAAGGCGACUUUCUGGUCUGCAACUGACGCUGAUGUGCGAAAGCGUGGGGAUCAAACAGGAUUAGAUACCCUGGUAGUCCACGCCGUAAACGAUGAGUGCUAAGUGUUAGGGGGUUUCCGCCCCUUAGUGCUGCAGCUAACGCAUUAAGCACUCCGCCUGGGGAGUACGACCGCAAGGUUGAAACUCAAAGGAAUUGACGGGGACCCGCACAAGCGGUGGAGCAUGUGGUUUAAUUCGAAGCAACGCGAAGAACCUUACCAAAUCUUGACAUCCUUUGACAACUCUAGAGAUAGAGCCUUCCCCUUCGGGGGACAAAGUGACAGGUGGUGCAUGGUUGUCGUCAGCUCGUGUCGUGAGAUGUUGGGUUAAGUCCCGCAACGAGCGCAACCCUUAAGCUUAGUUGCCAUCAUUAAGUUGGGCACUCUAAGUUGACUGCCGGUGACAAACCGGAGGAAGGUGGGGAUGACGUCAAAUCAUCAUGCCCCUUAUGAUUUGGGCUACACACGUGCUACAAUGGACAAUACAAAGGGCAGCGAAACCGCGAGGUCAAGCAAAUCCCAUAAAGUUGUUCUCAGUUCGGAUUGUAGUCUGCAACUCGACUACAUGAAGCUGGAAUCGCUAGUAAUCGUAGAUCAGCAUGCUACGGUGAAUACGUUCCCGGGUCU
rnacentral:rRNA from 1 species